ACAGCUCAUCACAGAGCCAGCAUGGGGUCACAGAGCACCCCAAAGGGAGGGACCCCCAGGCCCCAAAGUGGGGCAGGGGGCACAGCUCAGCCCCCAUGCCCAGCUGGCACAGGUGACUGCCCUGCUCCUCCAGGGCAGUGCCACCCCAAAGGCAGGACAGAGACCCUUCCCAGGCUGUCCCCGACCCUGGGUCCAGCUCUUCCCCCCUCCAAAGGGCAGCACUGGCCCAGGGGGUGCUGCAGACCCCACAGCAGAGCCCCCCUCUGUCCCUGCCAGCCCAGCCCAGCCCUGCUGGGGACAGGGACAGUCCCUGCUCCCAGCACAAACCCAAACGUGCCCCAGAGCCCCCACUCUGAGCAUUCCUGGCUGGUCCCAAGGCAGAGGCAGCCAAGACAAGCUCCAUAGCAAUGGAUUUUUAAAAACUGAAGUCUUUAUUAAAGUUUUAUCCAAAUUUUGUAACAAAAGAUACAAAAGGGCUGGAGAUCCUUAUUUCUGGGACUAGUCUGACCAAUCAAAACCUGACAGUUACUAGGCUAAUAUAAAAUCCAUACAAUCUGCUAAAAAUGCAGGGAAAAAAAAUUAGAAGUAACUGCUGCUCUGACUUUUUUUUUCUUUUCUUUUUUUUUAAAUUCCUUAAAACAUUUAUAAGUUACUCAGUUUGCAUUUUACAGGAUUAGUUCUUGUCCGAAUGGUCACAGCGACUGUACAAUGCAAGAGACACCAGCAAAGCGAGGCAGGGAGGGGGGAUGUGCUGCUGAACACACCCCACACCCCCCGGGAGGGCAGGGGAGGGCUGGAGCCUCGGCCCCGGGGGCACACGGAGCCCCCAGUGGGGAUGCCACAAAGUGCCAGUGCUUGUCUGCACCCCCGGGCUGUCCCUCUGUCUGUCCCUCCCUCCCAUUCUCCCCAGGGAUGCGCUGGCUGGACACCUCUGGGAUGGCAGGGAAGGUGGGAAUGGGGUUGGGAAUGCUGCAUGAACCUGCCUGGCUCCCCCAAAUCCUCCCUCCAGCCACCAAGGGGUGCCACCCCCACAGUGGGGACACGAGGCUGGAGCUCUGUUCCCUGCUGGGAACCCAGGAGGAGGAGGAGGAGGAGGAAGAGGAGGAUGCCCAGGCCAGGCUGGCACCAGGCUAACACGGUCUGCAGGAGCAUCGAUCACAGUGAUGGUGGUGGCUGCACAGGGCUGUGCAGUGUGAAAUGA
rnacentral:lncRNA from 1 species